rnacentral:lncRNA from 1 species
CCUUGCUCCCGGCUGCCGCUCGUAAACCCGAGCGCACAGCAUCAGCACAAAAAUCAUUCGAAAGAACCGGCCAUCUGCCUGCGCAAAAUGAUGUGCUGAGUUUCUCUCUUGAAGAAUGAGCCUUUGCUUCACUUUUCCUUCCAGCUGCUGGGAAAAUGUCAAGAUUAGAUGAGUCACACGGCAGAUCAGAUCUGAGUGACAAAGCCUGGACAUUGGCUGCUUUACUGCCCUGUUAACCUGGAGGAAUUGACUGGAAUUUAUUGCCUUAUGAACACUGGUGCACAUAGCUGACAUCUGGAUUUAAAGAAAGCUUCGCAGGCCAAUAUAUUGUCUCUUAAACCUUUACUCCCACUACUAAUAUGAUUAAUAUUUUCAUUUUUGAAAAACUAAAUAAAUAAGGCUCAUUCGUAUAACA